UUAAACCAAAAUAACAAUAAAAACACACAUUUCAGUUGAUCCUCUUAUUUUUGUCAUCAAAAUUAUUGAACUUAUAUAUCAAUCCUGUCCUUUACAAUUUCAUGGAUACAGAACCACCUCCGCCACAUGUUCUUAUCUUCCCAUUUCCAGCCCAAGGCCACGUCAACUCCAUGUUAAAAUUAACGGAGCUCCUUUUGGAAGCCAGUCUUAAUAUCACUUUUUUAAUUUCCGCCAAGGACCAUGACCGCCUGGCCCGGUUCACCACGGUCCACUCACAUCUUACCCGUUACUUGGGCCGCUUUCGGUUCCAUGUCAUUCAUGGGCUAUAUGAAGGCCCAAUGGAUACCGAUGAAAAGUUGAGUGUAAUGAUAGCUGAUUCUUUGCCAAAAGUAGCUGUACCUUUGCUUAGAGACUUGCUUGUUGAUUCUCACGUGACUUGUUUGAUAGUGGAUGGAAUUAUGGGUUUUCCAAUUGACGUUGCUAAGGGUACCGGAGUUCCGGUUAUUUUCUUUCGAACAAUUAGUGCUUGUGCACUUUGGGCUUACUUUUCUGUCCCGGGUCUUAUAAACUCUGGCGACCUCCCCUUUCAAGGUACAAACUUGGAUGAACGAAUAGUAAGUUUAGAAGGAAUGGAAGCAUUCCUUCGUAGACGUGAUCUUCCGAGCUUUUGUCGCUCCGAUUUAAAUAACCAAACCUUGCAACAAGUAAUUGGCGUAUCACGCAGAACCACAGAGGCUCAUGCACUUUUGCUUAACACCUUUGAUGAACUUGAAGGGCCUAUUGUCUCCCAAAUACAAAAACAUUGCCCGAAUAUCUAUACAAUUGGACCACUUCAUGCUCAUUUGAAAGCCCGGACUUUAUCCAAAUUAACAUCUUCGAACAGUUUAUUCGAGGAAGAUAAGACAUGUAUUACUUGGCUUGAUCAAAAAGCACCAAAAUCGGUGUUGUAUGUUAGUUUUGGAAGCCUUGUGACCGUUACAAGAGAGCAACUUAUGGAGUUUUGGCAUGGUUUAGUCAAUAGCGGAAAACCAUUCUUGUGGGUCAUUCGUGAUGAUCUAGUGUUAAAACAUGAUGAUGAGAAUAAGGUUCCGUAUGAGCUAGAGGAAGGUACAAAAAAAAGAGGCUAUAUGGUAGGAUGGGUUCCUCAAGAAGACGUGUUAGCCCAUCCAGCUGUAGGUGCAUUUCUAACGCAUAAUGGAUGGAACUCAACAUUGGAAAGUAUCGUCGAAGGAGUACCAAUGAUUAGUUGGCCAUAUUUUGCGGAUCAACAAAUUAAUAGUAGAUUUGUGGAAGCCGUAUGGAAAUUAGGUUUAGACAUGAAGGAUACAUGUGAUAGGAAAAUAAUCGAGAAGACUAUAAAAGUAGUUAUGGAGGAUCGGAAGAUGGAAUUUAUAGAAUCUGCGGAUCGUAUGGCAAGAUUAGCAAAGGAAACGGUAAAUGAAGGUGGGUCGUCUUAUGGUAAUUUGAAUCGUCUUGUUGAAGACAUUAAAAUGAUGGGUGUUGGGUCAAAAUAACUUCAGUUAACCGGGUAACAACCAUCUUCUAGCCGGUUAUGCCACAUCAGAUCAUCAAAAUUAAUAUAAAAACCCUAUUUUCCCACCCUUUUCACCCACUUCUCUCUCCCCGCUAUUUUUCCUUCUUUUUUCUCCCAAAAUUCCCUCCAUUUUUCUUCCAUGGCGUGUACCUCCUCAUCUUCAUCAACAAAUCGUCCUACUCGCUAUAUGCUCUGUUACUGCGGAGCCAAGAUGUACAUAUUAACAUCAUGGACCGCCAAGAAUCCAGGUCGUCGAUUUGUCAAAUGCCCUAGUGUUAAAACAAGCUGUUGUACGCGAUUUAGCUUUAUUGACCCAGAACUUCCAAUCGAUUAUUACAAAGAUUUGGUGUAUGAGCUUCAUUAUCAAGCUGUUAACUCCGAUAAUCUACCUUCUAAAGAUAAGCAGGAUGAAGAUUCAAUUUAUGAAAAUAUGAAAGUCAAGGAUGAGUUGACUAUCACAAAGUCAAAAUUGAGAGUUUUUGACCAAGUGUUCUAUCUGUUGGUGUUUGUUGUUGCACUACUUUGUUUUGUAAUUGCAGUGUUAGUUAUGUAAUAUGUUGACAGUUGAUUAAUGAAAUGUG